GACGGAGGAUGCAAGCGUUAUCCGGAAUCAUUGGGCGUAAAGAGCGCGUAGGCGGCCCAGUAAGUCCGCUCUGAAAGUCAGGGGCUCAACCCCUGGAUGCGGGUGGAUACUGCUGGGCUAGAGUCCGGAGGAGGUGAGUGGAAUUCCUGGUGUAGCGGUGAAAUGCGCAGAUAUCAGGAAGAACAUCGGUGGCGAAGGCGCUCUGCUGGACCAUAACCGACACUCAGGGACGAAAGCUAGGGGAGCGAAUGGG
rnacentral:rRNA from 1 species